rnacentral:rRNA from 1 species
ACGUAGGUGGCAAGCGUUGUCCGGAUUUACUGGGCGUAAAGAGCGCGCAGGCGGUCGUUCAAGUCGCGUGUGAAAGCCCCCGGCUCAACUGGGGAGGGUCACGCGAUACUGAUCGACUGGAAGGCAGGAGAGGGUAGUGGAAUUCCCGGUGUAGUGGUGAAAUGCGUAGAUAUCGGGAGGAACACCAGUGGCGAAAGCGGGCUCCUGGACCUCGCCUGACGCUGAGACGCGAAAGCCAGGGGAGCGAACGGGA